GCAGGUUUCGGCUUGUCAGUGGCGGACGGGUGAGUAACGCGUAGGUAUCUGUCCUGAGGUGGGGGAUAACCAUGGGAAACUGUGGCUAAUACCGCAUGAUGACUGAGGUCCAAAGGCGUAAGUUGCCUUAGGAGGAGCCUGCGUCCGAUUAGCUUGUUGGUGGGGUAAAGGCUUACCAAGGCGAUGAUCGGUAGCUGGUCUGAGAGGAUGAUCAGCCACACUGGGACUGAGACACGGCCCAG
rnacentral:rRNA from 1 species